ACGCUCGACACCUGGGAGGCAGCAGUGAGGGAUAUUGGUCAAUGGGGGAAACCCUGAACCAGCAACGCCGCGUGAGGGAUGACGGUCUUCGGAUUGUAAACCUCUGUCCUCUGUGAAGAUAAUGACGGUAGCAGAGGAGGAAGCUCCGGCUAACUACGUGCCAACAGCCGCGGUAAUCUGAGCGGGCUGGCAAGGC
rnacentral:rRNA from 1 species